UACGUAGGUGGCAAGCGUUGUCCGGAUUUACUGGGCGUAAAGAGCGCGCAGGCGGUCGUUCAAGUCGCGUGUGAAAGCCCCCGGCUCAACUGGGGAGGGUCACGCGAUACUGAUCGACUCGAAGGCAGGAGAGGGAAGUGGAAUUCCCGGUGUAGUGGUGAAAUGCGUAGAUAUCGGGAGGAACACCGAUGGCGAAGGCAGGUCUCUGGGCCACUACUGACGCUGAGAAGCGAAAGCAUGGGGAGCGAACAGG
rnacentral:rRNA from 1 species